UACGGAGGGAGCUAGCGUUGUUCGGAAUUACUGGGCGUAAAGCGCGCGUAGGCGGCUUUGUAAGUUAGAGGUGAAAGCCCGGGGCUCAACCCCGGAACUGCCUUUAAAACUGCAUCGCUUGAAUCCAGGAGAGGUGAGUGGAAUUCCGAGUGUAGAGGUGAAAUUCGUAGAUAUUGGAAGAACACCAGUGGCGAAGGCGGCUCACUGGACUGGUAUUGACGCUGAUGUGCGAAAGCGUGGGGAGCAACAGG
rnacentral:rRNA from 1 species